rnacentral:piRNA from 1 species
UAACAUCUUAGCAGAGUUUUC